rnacentral:lncRNA from 1 species
CAACAGUUAGACCGAGUCACGUGGCUCGGCCCCGGGCCUGGGCUUCACCUUUUCACAGCCAGCCUUCCUCGCUUCCUGAAAGGGCGGUGGGACAGUCCCCCCCCCGCCAUCCCUCGUUCCUAUCGCCGAAGACAGGAACAGGGGUCAUUCUGGUGCUUACGGUUUGUUGCUCACCGCCUGGGGGACGGUUGCUGCAGUUUAUAUAAGUGACCUUAGAAUCCACCGGAGCCCCCUGCUUCCCUUCAGAAACUCCCUUUCUCCCGGCCCUGGUCCCCCACAGCGCCCUUCCGCCGCCAGGGUGAGGGGUCGGCUCGGAGAGGCAGGCGGCAGGAACAAUAGGCGCCCUCGCCCCGCACGGCGGAGAGCGAUUUGCAUCUCAGAGGAGCUCCGAUCGGGACUCCGCGUUUGGAUGCUGACCCUUGCGCUGAAGAUCAGCUUCAGGAAUUUCCUGCGACCUGUUAAGGUUUGCAGCUCGGAAGCAAUAGGAGGCCUUGACAUUCGUGUCCACCUCAUUCAGGGAUCUAAAAUGGCAGGCACUUGUUGGGUUCGUCCAGAUUUGCCUGACCUGCAUCUAGCUUUUGGCCUAGAGUAUACAACAUCUUAAGAUGCCUGAAGUGCUUGUGGAUAACCAAGUGAUGAACUAAGCCCACUGAAUGAGGUAGAAGGGAAUGAUGGGUAAAUCAAGUUAUGGGUUCCCCUCACUUUUUUUUUUUUCCAUUUUAGUUUCAGUGCCUGUAUUCUCAGCUUUUCAAUUAGAUUUUAAAAGGCUUAAAUGAGCUUUAUUGAGCUAUCAAGACAUUCAACAAAGUUCACAUACUGAAAGUGUACAGUUUUGGUAAUUUUGACACAUGUAUAUACCUAUGAAACUAUCACCUAUAAUCCAGAUUAUGAAUAUAUCUGUCACCCCCAAAGUUUCCUUGUGCCUCUUUAUCAUCCCAUCUGCUCAGCAGCCCCUGUCUCCAAGCAACAACCCAUUUGUCUUCUGUCACUGCAGAUUCUUUGCAUUUUUGUUUGAUUUUAUACAAAUGUAAUCCUGUAGCAUGUAUUCAUUUUUUUACCUUUUUUUACUCAGAAUAAUUACUUUGAGAUUCAUCUGAGUUGUUGCAUGUUUCUGUAGUUUAUUCCUUUUUAUUGCUAGUAGUACUCCAUUGUGUAGACAUAUCAUAAAUUGUUUAUCCACUCAUCUAUUGAUACCAGUUGGGUUAAUACCAGUUUUUGGCUAUUACAAAUAAGACUGUGAUGAACAUUCAUAUACAAGUAUUUGUAGAGAUAAAUGCUUUUACUUCUCUUUGGUAAUUACCUAGGAAUAGAAUGGCUUAGUCAUAUGGUAGGUGUGUGUCAGAUCUUUUAAGAAACUGCUGAACUUGUUUUCUAAAGUGAUUGUCCCAUUUUACAUUCCCAUCUGCAAUAUAUGAGAAUUCCAGUUCCUCUACAUCCUCACCAACUUUUGGUAUAAUCGGUCCUUUCAAUUUUAGCCAUUCUCGAGGUGUAUAGUAGUAUCUCAUUUUAGUUUUAAUUUGCAUUUCUGAGAUAACAAAUGGUGAUAAGCAUCUUUUUGUGUGCUUUUUGAUAUCCACAUAUCUUCUUUGUUAAAGUGUCCAUUCAAAUUAUUUGCCCCUUUUUGUUGUUGUUGGGCUGUUUAUUUUAUUGCUUUUUUUUUUCUUAAGAUUUUAUUUAUUUAUUUGCUAGAGAGAGAGAGAGAGCACAAGCAAGGGGAGCAGCAGGCGGAAAGAGAAGCAGGCUCCCCACUGAGCAAGGAGCCCAACGCGGGACUUGAUCCCAGAACUCUGGGAUCAUGACCUGAGCUGAAGACAGACGCUUAACCAACUGAGCCAUCCAGGCAUCCCUAUCUUACUGCUUUUUGAGGGUUUUUAAAAUAUAUACUGCAUAUAAGUUCUUUAUCAGAUAUGUGAUUUGCUAAUAUUUUCUCCCAGUCUGUGGCUUAUCUUUGCAUUCUCCUAAUAGUAUCUUUCAAAGAAUGUUCUUUUUGGCAGAGACUACUUAGUCCCAGGCCUGGCCUUAGUCUCCUCUCCUUUCACACCAGAGGCCUUUGCCACAAAUAUGCUCCCCUAGGUCCUUGGUUAGGCCAAGAAAGCACUCAAGCUUGAUUUCUCUCUUCAUAUUUAUUGGAGCUGGAGUUACUGGAGCAGCAGUGUAUGUCUUGUAUCUGGCAUUGUCCGAUCCAGAUAUCUGUUGGGAUGAAGAGUAACCCAGAACCCAGAAUAAAGUGUGUCCUAAUGAUCA